UACGUAGGGCGCAAGCGUUUGUCCGGAAUUAUUGGGCGUAAAGAGCUCGUAGGUGGUUUGUUACGUCUGCUGUGAAAACCUAGGGCUUAACCCUGGGCCUGCAGUGGAUACGGGCAGACUAGAGGUAGGUAGGGGGAGAAUGGAAUUCCCGGUGUAGCGGUGAAAUGCGCAGAUAUCGGGAGGAACACCGGUGGCGAAGGCGGUUCUCUGGGCCUUACCUGACACUGAGGAGCGAAAGCGUGGGGAGCAAACAGG
rnacentral:rRNA from 1 species